UACGAGAGGUGCAAGCGUUAUUCGGAAUUAUUGGGCGUAAAGGGGCACGUGAGGCGGGUCAUUAAGUUUGUUGUUAAAUCCUCUGGCUUAACCAGAGACAAGCAAUAAAAACUGGUAACCUAGAGCGUGAGAGAGAGAAGUGGAAUUCCCGGAGUAGCGGUAAAAUGCGUAGAUCUCGGGAGGAACACCAAUGGCGAAGGCUGCUUCUUGGCUCAUUGCUGACGCUGAGGCGCGAAAAGCCAGGGGAGGCGAAACGGG
rnacentral:rRNA from 1 species